UACGUAGGGGGCAAGCGUUGUCCGGAUUCAUUGGGCGUAAAGAGCGUGUAGGCGGCCAGGUAGGUCGGUUGUGAAAACUGGAGGCUCAACCUUCAGAGGUCGACCGAAACCAUCUGGCUAGAGUCCGGGAGAGGAGGGUGGAAUUCCUGGUGUAGCGGUGAAAUGCGUAGAGAUCAGGAGGAACACCCGUGGCGAAGGCGGCCCUCUGGCUCGACCCUGACGCUGAGGCGCGAAAGCGUGGGGAGCGAACAGG
rnacentral:rRNA from 1 species